GGAUGUGAGGGCGAUCUGGCUGUGACAUCUGUCACCUCACUGAUCGCCAGGGUUGAUUUGGCUGAUCUGGCUGGUUAGGCAGGUGUCCUCUUCCUCCCUCACCACUCCAUGUGUGUCCAUCCCAAAGCUGCACACCUGGCCCAAGAGGACAGCCUUACCCAAAAAGAGAUGGACCUGUCUUUGGUCUAGGGUAAACGAGUUGCUGUGCUCCCCUGCUAGACCUCCAAACAAGCUCUCAAAUGGGGAAGGUGAGCUUGUAUCUAGGGAGACCUUGGGGCUUAGCUGUCAAGACUGGCCUGCGGGUUCCCUACUGACUAGGUCU
ensembl:misc_RNA 7SK 7SK RNA